ensembl:lncRNA
AUUGUCUGGGGGAAUGCUGCGUGACCCGAACAGCCAGCACAGAAUGUCUAGGUUCUUUCAUCCCGUGUGGCCGGGCUGCAGCUGGGUCACCUUUGCUAUGUAUGUCCAGGGAGAGUGUGACUUCCACUGGUUACCCAGCACAAGGUCUAUGAAAUGAGACUUCACAACACAAGUGGCUGGACAAUGUUUUGUGAGAUCUUGCCAUGGAAACCCAGGGUACAAUAGAUGAAGCAGAAGAGAACAGGGAGGCAAGGUGAGAUUAACAGAACUAAAAUCACACUUCAAAUUAAAUGAGACAAGAAGAUGAAGUAGUUUUUCCAGCAGCUAAACGUAUGCACUGUUAUCUCUUUAAUAAAAUGAAGGCAGGAGGAAAAAAGCAUCACAGAACCUCUCCAGAGUGGCAGAUUAGCAGGAACUGUAACUCACCACCACAGCUCGAAAAGAUUUACGUUGUGCUACUUCCCUCUUCUUCAUUCUCCCAUUGUUUAACCAUCAACACUGCAGACACCACACACUUGCCAUUUCUCUUUUAAAUCGAUCAAGUAGUUGGCUUUUAUGUUUCUUACUGGGUGGGAAAUUCCUCUAGGUUUGAGCCGUCCAUCUAUGAUUUUGGUGAGCAAACUGUGGAAGGCUGAGCCCCUCAAGUGUUCGGAUCCUUGAGACUGAGGGUUGUUCAGCUUCAGAGAGCUUCAGUUUUAAGCAAAUAUGGGGACAGUGUGAAGGAAGUCCAAGAGGAGAGGGUGGCAGGGGCGUAAGGACAUAUGGGUGCAGCCUUUCAGCUCAGCAGGGCUUUUGAUCAUGAGGACUGUCCUAAUGGCUUCUGAGAGAGUUAUGAGGAACAGAAAUACCCCAAACUAAACCCCAGAAUGAAAGCAAGGCAACUCCCCUUGGCCCUGCCCAUCCUUCCCCCUGCCCUCCUGCCCACUCUACCUACAAGAAGACGGAAGGAGACAGUUUUUGAAAGCACCCAGCUGUAAUUGGUGAGCACGCUUGUCCAGGGAGCCAUCCCAUGGCACAGAAUGGGCUUCAGCUCCUCUCCAUCUGGCACAGGACGGCUAUGAGAGCAGAGACUGCCACCCACCAAUCACACCUUCCCACCUCUAGAGUAGACAAAGAUGGCUCUUUAGGUCAUUUUAUUUUAUUUCUUUGUUGUUUCCCCCCCCCUUUUUUUUUCUCCUCCCCCCGUUUUUUUUUUUUUUUUACAAAAAUUUCUACAUCUAAAUCACUUUGCUAUAGAAACAUUAUUUUCUUUCCUUUUUUUUUUUUUUUUUUUUUUUACAUUAGUUAAAGCAGAACCUGCUUUUGUGAAAAAAGACAAGGAUCAAGGUCUUAUUUCAUGCAGAAAAUGCAAAUUAAAGAACAUAAAAAUG